rnacentral:piRNA from 1 species
UGGGAGUAGCAAGAAGGUAAUGUGGAGA